rfam:Pedobacter ginsenosidimutans strain KACC 14530 contig04, whole genome shotgun sequence.
CAAUAGCCCUGAUGGCAGCGGAAAUCCCUUUUGGUUAAAGAUGUAUUGUUGAUCAGCGCAGAUAUCCAAAAAGAUUGCAGCGGACAGCAGGACGGAAC